rnacentral:rRNA from 1 species
AAUCAACGCUGGCGGCGUGCCUAACACAUGCAAGUCGAACGCGAAAGCCCCGCAAGGGGUAAGUAGAGUGGCAAACGGGUGAGUAACACGUGGGUGACCUGCCCUCGAGUGGGGGAUAACGUCCCGAAAGGGACGCUAAUACCGCAUAAUAUGCCGCCUUUUAAGAGGUGGACAUCAAAGCUGGGGAUCGCAAGACCUAGCGCUUGAAGAGGGGCCCGCGCCUGAUUAGCUAGUUGGGGGGUAAUGGCUCACCAAGGCAACGAUCAGUAUCCGGCCUGAGAGGGCGGACGGACACACUGGGACUGAGACACGGCCCAGACUCCUACGGGAGGCAGCAGUGGGGAAUUGUUCGCAAUGGGCGCAAGCCUGACGACGCAACGCCGCGUGGAGGAUGAAGACC